rnacentral:antisense_RNA from 1 species
UGUGUGCAUAUGUCUAUGUAAGUAUAUGCGGGGGUGGGGGGGUGGGCAAGGAAUGCCUUGGAGGACUGGUGGAGUCAUAGGCAGUUGUGACUCUUGUGGGAGCUGGGACCUGAACUGGGGUUCUCUUGAAGGCAGAACAAGCUCUCUGUUCAGCAUUGAGCCAUCUCUCCAUCCCCUGGGAAAGAUAUCUUGAAUGGUUUCCUGAGGUGUAGAGAGCUAGCAGCCCCUGGCCAGGAAAAGUCUUUCAAAGCCUGUCAGUGGUCAGAGGUACAGCAGAGCGACCAUCUUCCUUAGGUUGUCCCAGAGGACAGGAGGAAGAAAAGACGCUCCGGCAGACAGGCGCAGCCCACUCUAGGCGUCCUCCUCUGUGAUGAAACUGCUUUUCUCUUUCAAGUAUCUCCUCUGACUCCAGCACUCUUCCUUUGCUCUGUGUUAGCGAGACAGAUACCUUCGAGAAUCACAUAAAGGAGGAAACGCUACACAGAGCUCAUGGUUUCUGAAGAUUUGAUUCAGCAUAGCUGGAGGGCGUGGUGGAGCAGAGUAGUUCAAGCCAUGGUGGCUUGUAAGUCUGGUCACGCUGCACAGAUCUGGGUUGUUCCCCUGGUCCCGUGAACCCAUUAGCGUCCGUCCGAGCCAUUAGGGACUCGCCACCAACACACGUGGACAGCAGCAGCAGCAGCAGUGGCCGCUGGAGCAAAGACUACGAUGUCUGCGUGUGCCACAGUGAGGAGGACUUGGAGGCGGCCCAGGAGCUGGUCUCCUACUUGGAGGGUAGCCAGGCCAGUCUACGCUGCUUCCUGCAGCUUCGGGAUGCAGCCCCGGGUGGCGCCAUUGUUUCGGAGCUAUGCCAGGCACUGAGUCGUAGUCACUGCCGUGUGCUGCUCAUCACUCCAGGCUUCCUUCGGGACCCCUGGUGCAAGUACCAGAUGCUGCAGGCCCUGACGGAGGCCCCGGCGUCGGAGGGUUGCACCAUACCCCUGCUGUCCGGCCUGUCCAGAGCCGCCUAUCCGCCGGAACUCCGAUUCAUGUACUAUGUGGAUGGCAGAGGCAAGGACGGAGGCUUUUACCAAGUCAAGGAGGCUGUUAUACACUCACAAAACUGGAAGACACGUUCAUCCCCAUACUGAAUUUCACCUGCUGAGCCCUCCUGCCAGCCCUUCCCGUUCUCCGGCUUUAGAGUACAAAAAGUGCUCAGGGAGUCUGCGCGGGACAAAAUU